CCAAAACAUGACAGUUGCUUGAGAGAGUAGGAGAAAACCUCUAUCAUCAUGGAACCCGGCCCAAAGAAAAAGGCGGACCUGAAGGUGAUUGUGAUGGGUGACUUCAAUGUGGGCAAGACUUCCUUUAUUGGUCGGUAUAUAGAGGGGGAAUUCAAGCAACAUGAUGCUACCAUCGGUGCUGCUUUCUUCCUUAAACAGUGGGGGCCAUACAACAUAGCUAUCUGGGUAAUUAAUGCCUUUAUUUAUUCAUUCCAUCCAUUUUCAAUUAUUUUUUAAUCAGCUAAAUCAGACUCAAUUUCAUGCAGUUUUGUGAUGUUUAAUAUGAUUUCUGUUCAGGAUACAGCUGGAGCAGAGAGGUUCACUGGUCUGUCUUCAUUCUACUGUAGAAACGCUGGGGCUGCUAUCCUGGCAUUUGACAUGUCCAUUGUCAGCACUUUUGAAUCUCUAUGGGCUCGAUUCAUCCCCUUGCUAGAGGUUGCUAAUGAAGACUGCCUUAAGAUAGUUGUUGGGAUGAAACUGGAUGCAUUGGGUGAGGACCAAAGGGAGGUAACUGUUCAGGAGGGAAAGAAGUUUGCCCGAGAAAUCAAUGACAAGAUUGACCUAAGCAAAUUGCCCAGUGACCCAUACUUUGAAACUUCCAGUAAAACUGGACACAAUGUGACGGAAGUGUUUGAGUACAUCUUUCGGUAUUGUCUUCCAUUGUCUGAGGCACAGCUGCAAGCCGCUAAUAGGCAAGGGACAGUAAACCUACCAAAUGGAAAACAAUCUCAGAAAAAAUGCUGCAGCCAUUGAUAUACUCAGAGUGGACAUCAGUUACUGAGCUGAUACAGGAGAGUUUGAGUUGUGCCUACACCCAUCAUUACUGAUCCUACUUCAUAUAGGCUACGUGGCAAUUCAAAGAGAGUGGCGCGGCAUAAAAGUUGUUAUAUAGUGAUUUUUAUAUCCAAAUAUUAGUAUAAUUUGGGGGCAUUUUAUGAAAUUUACCAUUGCAUCAACCGGACAUAAAUUUCUGUUUUUGUUAUUGUUAAACUGUUGUUAUAAGUUCUUUUUCUUUACUCCAGGUUAUAUUUUUGUACAAAAUUUACAUACAUGUACAUUUAUCCAAGAACGAAAGUUAGGUAUACAUGUAUGUCACGAACCAGAGAGUUUUGUACCAAUAAAAACCAAAUAUU
rnacentral:misc_RNA from 1 species